rnacentral:rRNA from 1 species
UACGUAGGCAGCGAGCGUUGUUCGGAAUUACUGGGCGUAAAGAGUGUGUAGGCGGUGCUCUAAGUUCGGUGUGAAAUCUCCUGGCUUAACUGGGGAAGUGCCUCGGAUACUGGUUCGCUCGAGGAAGGUAGGGGUCGCGGGAACGUUCCGGUGGAGCGGUGAAAUGCGUUGAUAUCGGAAGGAACGCCGGUGGCGAAAGCGCGCGACGUGGACCUUUCGUGACGCUGAGGCGCGAAAGCCAGGGGAGCGAACGGG